UACGUAGGGGGCCAGCGUUGUUCGGAAUUACUGGGCGUAAAGGGUUCGUAGGCGGUGCGGCAAGUUGGGAGUGAAAUCUCUGGGCUUAACCCAGAGACUGCUUUCAAAACUGCUGUGCUAGAGUAUGAGAGAGGCUCGUGGAAUUGCAGGUGUAGCGGUGAAAUGCGUAGAUAUCUGCAGGAACACCCGUGGCGAAAGCGGCGAGCUGGAUCAUCACUGACGCUGAGGAACGAAAGCUAGGGGAGCAAACAGG
rnacentral:rRNA from 1 species